UUACUUGGUUGCUUUGGUUUGUAUACCGCCGUUUAUUUGAUUAUCUUUUUAGAGCUGUUUAAUUUUCUGGUUUCCUUAUUUUGGUUUAUUUCAGGUCAAGGUGCAGCUUGUUUCCAAGUGGUAUGAUGGAUUACAUUGUUAUUUGUUUUUGGAUUGCUUGUUUAUAUAUGAGUAUGAAAUUGGAUUUGGUUGUAAUGAUUUGUAGAUUGUAUAUUUGAGAAAUGGAUCUGGGAUAUGUACACAUCGCCCGUCGCU
rnacentral:rRNA from 1 species